AUUGUUUCAAAUCAAACACACACACGCACAUUCAUAUAUCACAGGUACAUAGCUGAUACGGGGACUACAGAACACACAAAACCACACAUAUGCGAAUAGGAUACUACACCACGGUUCAGGUUACACAAGUGACAACAGAAAUGAAAUCUUAUAAGCCACAAGAUUAGUACCCACAGAUCAACACAACAGUAUUUAACAACUAAAAAAUACUGAUAGAAUUUAACUAGUACAGCGAGAAGAAAUACACAGGGUGAACACACAUAUAUGCUGACAGAACACUAAUUACCAAAGCAAUUUCUAAUAGAUCAAUAAUCUCCCAAAUUAACAAUAUAUUUUACCAGUACCAAACUGAACAAAUAACAAGUUGCUUGCACUAGUCAAAUCUGAAUAUUACACAACCCGAAACAUUACACAGUUCUGAACAUUACACUUCUAAAGUUUGCAAUAAGUUGAGAGAGAGAGAGAGAGAGCAACAAGAUUCAGAUUCAGAGAAGUGCAGCAACAAGGUUCAUGGGUUCAGAGAAGGGGGAAGCAACGAGCAGCAGAGGGAGAUAGGCAAGGGAGCAGCGGCAGGAAUAUUAGAGAAGAGCAGCAGCAAAAGGGACGAGGGGAGGAGCAGCAGCAGUUGGGAAGAGGCAAGGGAAGGAGGAGGAGCAGCUGGUUCGAGUUGAGAAGUGGAGGAGCAGCAGCAAGGCGAGGGAAGAAGGAGCAGCAGCAAGGCGUAGGAGAAGAAGAGCAGCAGGGGCGCGAGGUGCGGGGAAGCGCUGUGGUGCUGGUAGCAGCGGUUUGGAUGGAUGAUGGUGGAUUCGGGGAAGGAGAAGAAGAUGGUGGCACUGGUGGAUGGCGCAAGGUGGUGAUGUGGUGGGAGGUGCUGGUGGCACGCCGCCACGCCGGCCUGGCCGAGGCGGCGGCCGGAGGUGGAGAAGGGGGUGUGAGGGAGAGAGUUGAGUAGCCAGGCCCAAUUGCAAUGGAG
rnacentral:rRNA from 1 species